AUUCUGGUUGAUCCUGCCAGUAGUUAUAUGCUUGUCUCAAAGAUUAAGCCAUGCAUGUCUAAGUACACACGAAUUAAAAGUGAAACCGCAAAAGGCUCAUUAUAUCAGUUAUGGUUCCUUAGAUCGUUAACAGUUACUUGGAUAACUGUGGUAAUUCUAGAGCUAAUACAUGCAAUUAAAACACGGACCUUAUGGGACGUGUGCUUUUAUUAGGCUAAAACCAAGCGAUCGUAAGAUCGUUACAUUGGUUGAACUCUAGAUAACAUGCAGAUCGUAUGGUCUUGUACCGACGACAGAUCUUUCAAAUGUCUGCCCUAUCAACUUUUGAUGGUAGUAUCUAGGACUACCAUGGUUGCAACGGGUAACGGGGAAUCAGGGUUCGAUUCCGGAGAGGGAGCCUGAGAAACGGCUACCACAUCUAAGGAAGGCAGCAGGCGCGUAAAUUACCCACUCCCAGCUCGGGGAGGUAGUGACGAAAAAUAACAAUACAGGACUCAUAUCCGAGGCCCUGUAAUUGGAAUGAGUACACUUUAAAUCCUUUAACAAGGACCAAUUGGAGGGCAAGUCUGGUGCCAGCAGCCGCGGUAAUUCCAGCUCCAAUAGCGUAUAUUAAAGUUGUUGCGGUUAAAACGUUCGUAGUUGAACUUGUGCUUCAUACGGGUAGUACAACUUACAAUUGUGGUUACUACUAUACCUUUAUGUAUGUAAGCGCAUUACCGGUGGAGUUCUUAUAUAUAAUUAAGUACUUGUAUUUUUUUAUAUAUUCCUCCUAUUUAAAAACCUGCAUUAGUGCUCUUCAUCGAGUGUUAUUGUGGGCCGGUACAAUUACUUUUGAACAAAUUAGAGUGCUUAAAGCAGGCUUCAAAUGCCUGAAUAUUUCUGUGCAUGGGAUAAUGAAAUAAGACCUCUGUUCUGCUUUCAUUGGGUUUCAGAUCAAGAGGUAAUGAUUAAUAGAAGCAGUUUGGGGGCAUUAGUAUUACGACGCGAGAGGUGAAAUUCUUGGACCGUCGUAAGACUAACUUAAGCGAAA
rnacentral:ncRNA from 1 species